GAUGAACGCUGGCGGCGUGCCUAAUACAUGCAAGUCGAGCGAACAGACGAGGAGCUUGCUUCUCUGACGUUAGCGGCGGACGGGUGAGUAACACGUGGAUAACCUACCUAUAAGACUGGGAUAACUUCGGGAAACCGGAGCUAAUACCGGAUAAUAUAUUGAACCGCAUGGUUCAAUAGUGAAAGACGGUCUUGCUGUCACUUAUAGAUGGAUCCGCGCUGCAUUAGCUAGUUGGUAAGGUAACGGCUUACCAAGGCAACGAUGCGUAGCCGACCUGAGAGGGUGAUCGGCCACCCUGGAACUGAGACACGGUCCAGACUCCUACGGGAGGCAGCAGUAGGGAAUCUUCCGCAAUGGGCGAAAGCCUGACGGAGCAACGCCGCGUGAGUGAUGAAGGUCUUCGGAUCGUAAAACUCUGUUAUUAGGGAAGAACAAAUGUGUAAGUAACUGUGCACGUCUUGACGGUACCUAAUCAGAAAGCCACGGCUAACUACGUG
rnacentral:rRNA from 1 species